rnacentral:rRNA from 1 species
UGGGGAAUAUUGGGCAAUGGGCGCAAGCCUGACCCAGCAACGCCGCGUGAAGGAAGAAGGUCUUUCGGGUUGUAAAACUUCUUUUCUCAGGGACGAAGCAAGUGACGGUACCUGAGGAAUAAGCCACGGCUAACUACGUGCC